AGGAUGAAAAUCGGACUUAGUGAUCCGGUGGUUCUGCGUGGAAGGGCCAUCGCUCAACGGAUAAAAGCUACCCUGGGGAUAACAGGCUUAUCUCCCCCAAGAGUCCACAUCGACGGGGAGGUUUGGCCCCUCGAUGUCGGCUCAUCACAUCCUGGGGCUGUAGUAGGUCCCAAGGGUUGGGCUGUUCGCCCAUUAAAGUGGUACGCGAGCUGGGUUCAGAACGUCGUGAGACA
rnacentral:rRNA from 1 species